rnacentral:lncRNA from 1 species
GUCCCGCUUCAGGUUAAAGUUUUUGGUCAAGGUAGUUUUUGAUGAAGUUGAAGUCCAAUCGACUUCAAACUUAGUAUACAUGUUCCCUAUGAUAUGAUCUUUUUAAUUUUAAUGCCAUAUUAGAGGGUUUACCCCAAUUUCACGGUCCACUGAACAUAGAAAAUGAUAGUGCGAGUGGGGCAUUCGUGUACUGGGGACACAUUCUUGUUUUCA